GACGAACGCUGGCGGCGUGCUUAACACAUGCAAGUCGAACGGAAAGGCCCUGCUUUUGUGGGGUGCUCGAGUGGCGAACGGGUGAGUAACACGUGAGUAACCUGCCCUUGACUUUGGGAUAACUUCAGGAAACUGGGGCUAAUACCGGAUAGGAGCUCCUGCUGCAUGGUGGGGGUUGGAAAGUUUCGGCGGUUGGGGAUGGACUCGCGGCUUAUCAGCUUGUUGGUGGGGUAGUGGCUUACCAAGGCUUUGACGGGUAGCCGGCCUGAGAGGGUGACCGGCCACAUGGGGACUGAGAUACGGCCCAGACUCCUACGGGAGGCAGCAGUGGGGAAUAUGGCACAAUGGGCGGAAGCCUGAUGCAGCAACGCCGCGUGCGGGAUGACGGCCUUCGGGUUGUAAACCGCUUUCGCCUGUGACGAAGCGUGAGUGACGGUAAUGGGUAAAGAAGCACCGGCGAACUACGU
rnacentral:rRNA from 1 species